rnacentral:rRNA from 1 species
GAUGAACGCUAGCGGGAGGCCUAACACAUGCAAGCCGAGCGGUAUUUGUUCUUCGGAACAGAGAGAGCGGCGCACGGGUGCGGAACACGUGUGCAACCUGCCUUUAUCUGGGGGAUAGCCUUUCGAAAGGAAGAUUAAUACCCCAUAAUAUAUUGAGUGGCAUCAUUUGAUAUUGAAAACUCCGGUGGAUAGAGAUGGGCACGCGCAAGAUUAGAUAGUUGGUGAGGUAACGGCUCACCAAGUCAAUGAUCUUUAGGGGGCCUGAGAGGGUGAUCCCCCACACUGGUACUGAGACACGGACCAGACUCCUACGGGAGGCAGCAGUGAGGAAUAUUGGACAAUGGGUUAGCGCCUGAUCCAGCCAUCCCGCGUGAAGGACGACGGCCCUAUGGGUUGUAAACUUCUUUUGUAUAGGGAUGAACCUACUCUCGUGAGAGUAGCUGAAGGUACUAUACGAAUAAGCACCGGCUAACUCCGUG